rnacentral:rRNA from 1 species
CCUACGGGUGGCAGCAGUGGGGAAUAUUGGACAAUGGGCGAAAGCCUGAUCCAGCCAUGCCGCGUGUGUGAAGAAGGCCUUCGGGUUGUAAGCACUUUCAGUGGGGAAGAAAGCCUUGGGGCUAAUACCCUCGAGGAAGGACAUCACCCACAGAAGAAGCACCGGCUAACUCCGUGCCAGCAGCCGCGGUAAUACGGAGGGUGCGAGCGUUAAUCGGAAUUACUGGGCGUAAAGCGCGCGUAGGCGGUCUGAUAAGCCGGUUGUGAAAGCCCCGGGCUCAACCUGGGAACGGCAUCCGGAACUGUCAGGCUAGAGUGCAGGAGAGGAAGGUAGAAUUCCCGGUGUAGCGGUGAAAUGCGUAGAGAUCGGGAGGAAUACCAGUGGCGAAGGCGGCCUUCUGGACUGACACUGACGCUGAGGUGCGAAAGCGUGGGUAGCAAACAGGAUUAGAUACCCCGGUAGUC